CCUACGGGUAGCUGCAGUGGGGAAUAUUGGGCAAUGGAGGAAACUCUGACCCAGCAAUGCCGCGUGCCUGAAGAAGGUCUUCGGAUUGUAAAGUUCUUUAGUCAGGGAAGAAUAAAAUGACGGUACCUGAAGUAUAAGCUCCGGCUAACUACUUGCCAGCAGCCUCGGUAAUACGUAGGGAGCAAGCGUUGUUCGGAAUGACUGGGCGUAAAGGGUGCGUAGGCGGUUAUACAAGUUAGCAGUGAAAUACCCAGGGCUUAAAUCGCGUGUGGCGUUUAAAACUGUAAGACUUGAGUGCAGUAGAGGUUAGUGGAAUUCCAAGGGUAGCGGUGGAAUGCGUAGAUAUUAGGAGGAACACCAGAGGCGAAGGCAGCUAACUGGACUGCAACUGACGCUGAGGGACGAAAGUGUGGGGAGCAAACAGGAGUAGAUACCCUAGUAGUC
rnacentral:rRNA from 1 species